AUAUCAAUAAGCGGUGGAAAAGAAACAAACAUGGAUUUCCCUAGUAGCGGCGAGCGAACCGGAACCAGCCCAACUGAGAAUCUCUUCGGAGAAUUGUAGUCUAUAGAUGUACCCUCUGCGGCGGGCGGUGCCCAAGUCCCCUGGAAAGGGGCGUCAGAGAGGGUGAGAACCCCGUCGGCGCCUGCCUUGCCGCUGCACGAGGUGCUUUCGCAGAGUCGGGUUGCUUGGGAAUGCAGCCCUAAUUGGGUGGUAAAUCCCAUCUAAGGCUAAAUACUGGCGAGAGACCGAUAGCGCACAAGUA
rnacentral:rRNA from 1 species